AUGAACGCUGGCGGCGUGCCUAAUACAUGCCAGUCGAGCGAACGGACGAGAAGCUUGCUUCUCUGAUGUUAGCGGCGGACGGGUGAGUAACACGUGGAUAACCUACCUAUAAGACUGGGAUAACUUCGGGAAACCGGAGCUAAUACCGGAUGAUAUUUUGAACCGCAUGGUUCCAAAGUGAAAGACGGUCUUGCUGUCACUUAUAGAUGGAUCCGCGCUGCAUUAGCUAGUUGGUAAGGUAACGGCUUACCAAGGCAACGAUGCAUAGCCGACCUGAGAGGGUGAUCGGCCACACUGGAACUGAGACACGGUCCAGACUCCUACGGGAGGCAGCAGUAGGGAAUCUUCCGCAAUGGGCGAAAGCCUGACGGAGCAACGCCGCGUGAGUGAUGAAGGUCUUCGGAUCGUAAAACUCUGUUAUUAGGGAAGAACAUAUGUGUAAGUAACUGUGCACAUCUUGACGGUACCUAAUCAGAAAGCCACGGCUAACUACGUG
rnacentral:rRNA from 1 species